rnacentral:rRNA from 1 species
CAAUAGCGUAUAUUAAAGUUGUUGCGGUUAAAAAGCUCGUAGUUGGAUUUCUGCUGAGGAUGACCGGUCCGCCCUCCGGGUGAGUAUCUGGCUCAGCCUUGGCAUCUUCCUGAAGAACGUAACUGCACUUGACUGUGUGGUGCGGUAUUUAGGACAUUUACUUUGAGGAAAUUAGAGUGUUUCAAGCAAGCGCACGCCUUGAAUACAUUAGCAUGGAAUAAUAAGAUAGGACCUCGGUUCUAUUUUGUUGGUUUCUAGAGCUGAGGUAAUGAUUGAUAGGGAUAGUUGGGGGCAUUCGUAUUUAACUGUCAGAGGUGAAAUUCUUAGAUUUGUUAAAGACGAACUACUGCGAAAGCAUUUGCCAAGGAUGUCUUCAUUAA